rnacentral:lncRNA from 1 species
GUGGCCGGAGGAGAGAGUUCCGGCGAAGUGGAGGCAGCCGCGUUUUUGGGUUUUUUCGGCGAGAUCCGGCGGAGGAUGGACGAUCGGAGGAUGUAUCCCGACUCUCCUCAUCUCAAGCUUCGCGAUGGCACCGGUUUCGUGGCGAUCGGGCUUUGUUUGCGAAUCGACGGUCGAGAUCGUCCGUAAAUCUCUCCGGAUGAUCGGGUGUCAGAUCAAAAAAUCAGAAGCGGGGAUCGUCAUCAGCGCGUCGUUGUGAGUCUGAUGGUGUGUUCGGAUCGUCGAUCGGACUCCGGCGGCCGGAGGCGAGUCGAUCGAGCGACCGAGCGUCUCGAUGAUCUGUCUGUUCGGCUCGCUCCAACCGAGGCACCGGAGCAGAGCUAGGAGGUCGCCCAAUCCUAUUCGUGACUGUUAGUUCUCCCGCGACUCUUAUUCAAUAACCCGACUCCUUCAUCAUCGGGUGAUGUAUUUGAUUUGGUAUGUAAAUUGGUAAAUCUUAGAUUCUCCGGAGUAGUAAUAGUAGAUGUAUCAGUUGUAAAUUUUCUGAGUUUCAGGUCUCACCUAGUUUUUCUGGCAGACCAAAGUAUUUAUGUAGAAUGUAGCUAUUAAGAUAAUUUGUGGUUUUAAUAAUAUUAAUUUGAGAUGAGAUUUGUUUAAAUCAGUG